ensembl:snRNA U6 U6 spliceosomal RNA
GUGCUUGCUUCGGCAGCACGUGUACUAAAAUUGGAACAAUACGCAGAAGAUUAGCAUGGCCCCAGCGCAGAGAUGCCACGCAAAUUCGUGAAGCAUUCCAUAUCUUA